rnacentral:rRNA from 1 species
AUGUUGUUGCUGUGGAUCGAGAAAGCAAAGAAAUUAGGGGGAGGAUGUGAGAGAGAAGGAAGGAGAGGAGAGGUCAGGGAGAGCCCCGGUGUUCUAACCCUACUGGGGCAUCUUUGCUCCAGGGAGAAAGGAGGGGACCAGCGGCACAAGGAGGAGAGGAGGCCAUCGAGGCGAGCGGGGAGGGGGUGGCGGCGUGGGAGAGGAUGGAGCAGGGAGGACAUGAGGCGAAGGGGGAGUGGGGCUCGGGAGCACAUGCCGGCGGCCGGCAGGUCGAAUUGUCGCGCCACCGCGUCGUCGCCUCCUCUGCACCAUGAGGCGCCACCUCUGCCUCCACCCUCCACUAGGAAAGGAGCUCGAGGUGAACAGGCAGUGGGAAGGUGA